ACAUGAAUUUAUACAUAUGCAUACGUAUACAUAUAUAUACAUAUAUACAUACAUAUAUGUAUGUAUGUAUGUGAAGAAUCAUUAGUAAACCACAACAAGAAAAUCAGAGAGAAACAAAAACAUAGAUGCGCUCACCAGUCUGAGCAUGGCCACUAAGAAGAAGGAGCUCCUGUUCACUGCCAUGAAGAGAGCCAGUGAAUGGAUUUUCUUUGAGGAGAUUCCUAGUGAUGUAACUUUUCAUGUUGGAGGAACUUCCUUUUCAUUACAUAUAAGGCUAAUGGUAGUUUCCAUUAGUCUGAAAAUGUGGAUACAUAAGGAAGCUGGUAUCUGAAUCCAGUGAAGCUGAUCUUGCUGUUAUUGAAGUAUCUGAUGCUCUGGGCGGGGCAGAGGCAGAGGCAUUUGAACUUGGAGCAAAAUUCUGCUAUGGAAUUCAUUUUGGGAUCAACACAGAAAACAUUGCCCUGCUUAGAUGUGCGGCACAGUGUCUUGAGAUGACCUAGGACUAUGCAGUUGGAAGUUUGGUUGGAAGAGCUGAUGCUUACUUGAAUGAAGUAGCACUCAAGAGCCUUGCAGGAGCAGUUACUGUUUUACAUAUGUCAGAGAGCCUACUUUCAAUUGCAAAGAAAGUAAAAUUAGUGGUCAUCACAUAGAUGCAAUAGCAUACAUAACUUGUAAAGAAAACCAGUUUUCUGUAUCUGGUAGAGCCGAGAGUGGUGUUAAGGGAGCAAUUUCAACCAUGGCAUCUCAUCCAAAGGCCAUUAUUGAUUGGUGGGCUGAAGAUUUAACUGUUUUUCGAAUCAAUAUCUUCCUAUGGGUUUUGAUAGCAAUGAUGGCAAGGGGAUUUAAACAAUAUGCUCUUGGUACUGUACUUAUGCUGUAUGCACAGAGAUCUCUUCGAGGAAAUAUUUGUGAAAGGGAGGAAGAAAAUUGAGCCUUAAAAAGAACAUGAAAAGAGGGUUGUGUUGGAAACAAAUAGUGAGUCUUCUGCCAAGGGAAAAGAAUGCACUGUCCGCUAGCUUUCUAGCAAUGCUCCUUUGAUCUGCAAUAUAUCUUGAAACAACAAUUACCAGGGCUUAAGUAACAUUAUCUCUCAUGUGAAAUAUUUGAAUUUAUUAACUUGAGAUGGAAUAAUGAGAUGUUAAUCAUGUUAUAAAAAGCAAAACUUUAACAUAACUGAUAUAGUGGUUGUAUAUUCAAUCACUCUGUUGCAUUCAAUAUUAUUCAUGUUUGAUAAUA